rnacentral:lncRNA from 1 species
AAGUGCUGGGAUUACAGGCGUGAGCCACUGCGCCCAGCCCAUGUUAGCCAUUUUUAAGUAUACACCUCAGCGACAUUGAGUACAUUUGCAGUGCCGUACAACUGUCACCGCCGUCUAGUUCCCAAACUUUCUCCUCUUCCCAAACAGAAAUUCUGUACCCAUUCGGUGUCAGCCCCUGUUCUCCUCCCAGCAGAUCCUGUAACCACUCAUCCGCUUCCUGUCUCUAAGGAGCUGCCUGUCCGGACAUUUCAUGUGAAUGGACUCACACACACUGCGGCCUUUGGUGUCUGGCUGCUUUCACUCAGCAGCGUCGUCAGGGUCUACUGCGUUGCAGGGGGUGUCAGUGCCUCAUUCCUCUCUCGCCGAGGAAUAGUCCAUGGAGUGGUCCGACCACGUUUUGUGUGUCCUUUCGUCUGCCAGGGUUCCACUUUGGAGCAGCCGCUCUGCACCAGGCAUUUUCACCUCCUGCCUCUCGGCUUCCGCUUCCAGUCUCACGCUGUGUGGAUGGUGAGGCAGGAUUUACAGUCAAGCCAGUUGGCCCCGACCACCCACCUGGCGUGUGGCUGAACUGGGACACACUAGGUAGUUGGACUCACGCCCCAUACCUUGAACCCGCCAGCCAUCCUGCCUCCCAGAAUUUGGGGGGAGUGGGGACUGGGGGCUGGAGAAGGGGAAGACAUAGGCAGAGAUGCAGUGGGGGUGUGGGAUGGCAGCAUUCGGCCACAGGGUCCAGUGUGUUCCCUCCUCCAGGGGCCACCUUCCCCCACUACACAGAAUUCCCCUGUGGUUGCACCUACCGGCUCUCUAAAGUGGCCCCAAACCUUCCCCAGACCCCCAGGCCUGGUGGGGCGCUCCCUCUCCCAUCACAUGGCGCCGUGGUGGUCAGUGUCAGGGCGGUUGCCAAGCCCACUGCAGGCAUGUUUAUGGUUAAACCUCCCAGGUCGAGCCCGUGUUCCAUUUUAUGAGCCUUUUGGGCCCAGGAAAGUGGUGCCCUUGGUGAAUGUUUGCUAAGAACCCAGGCAGCUGGCAGGAGCUGCCUUCACUGGGAGACGUGUCGGAUUCAUGGGGGUGAUUGAGGAAGGCCCUGGAGUGGGUGGUCUCUGGGAGGCGGGUUCCUGGGAUGAUGGAAGGUUUCCAGGAAACAUGAUCUCCUGUUAAAAGUCUGCCAGCAGACACAGGCUCCUGCCCUCACCUGUGCAAGCCACACUUGAGAUAAAAUCCAGUGGCUGCCGGUUGGUGGAUGGCAAGCUGCCCUGCAUGGGCACCGGAAAGAAUCCCGCCAAAGGAAAGUUGCUGGGGCCAGUGUGGGACUUCUCUCCCUGCAGGGUUGAUUUUUAAACAGGGACAGUGCUUUCUAAUGGACAUCUGUCCCUCGUCUCGGCUCUGUUGCCAUCUGUGUUUCCUUUGCCUCUGUGCCCUUGAAGCUGGACCCUGUCUCCCUGGGUCCCCUCCCAGGGCAGGGCAGAGGGGCACCCCCACAGGCAGCAGUCCCCAAGAGGGAGCACCCUCCUUCCAGAUGGCCCAGAGGCCCCAGCAGUCAGAUCCUGCUGUUUGUCUCACAAGAUGAGCACAGCCAGGAACCCGUGACCUUGUCCCCAUUCUGUCCUUGCAUCCUUGGGUUCUGAUAGUCAAGCCUUGUCUGGAAAUCAGGGUGCAGACCAGCCUGAGCAGGUCCAUGCCCCAGGAAGAUGGCCCUGUCCACCCUCAUGGGGCACAGCGCUGGAGAACCAGAGAGAACUCUCCAGGCAGGGCUGUUUCCAAACCUCCCUCCCCGGCUGAGCUGCAGGGCAGCCCUCUGAACAGCUGCUAAUGGCCACCCCAGAUCUCAAAAUCAUCCACGUCCAAUUUCCCGUCUUGGAAUGUCACCUGGGGAGAGGAGACACAGCCCAGGAAGGGAUCGAGGAAAUAAAAGAGAGAGAGAGAGGACUCGAAUGCACACUCUAAUCUUCGCUUGGCGGUUCAGCUUUCAGGAGCCCCAAUUAAUCAUUAUUAAUUUAAUCCGGGGUGACUCGGAGUCAUCCUGACAGAGAUCAGCCACGAUUUAUCCCACCUGCUAAGGGGCGACCUUAGCAGAAUUCAAUGAAUUCGUCAUUGUGUUAAGCAAGGACCCUAAUGAAUCUCUUGUCGGCCCAGUUUACUGAAUGACCAUUAGCCACAAAUGAGUCACAGCACACCGCCCCCCCCCGCCCCCACACACACACCGAUAGUACUGCUAUCAAGGCUCUUCUUGACAGUAGGAGGGGGCUGGGCUCGGGAGGACAGCAGGCGUGAGAGGUUGUGCUUUCCUGCGCUGAUACUGACAGCUCUGAAAUGCACGCAUGCCUCAGCAUCACCAGGGCUGCUGGUUUAAAAUGUGGAUUGCAGGACCUCAUCCCCAGAGCCUCUGAAUCAAAAGAGCUGAUUGGGCCCAGGAAUCUGCAUUUUCACAAGCACCCCUGGUAAUUCUGGUGUAGGGGGCCCAGGCAUCUGAACCUGAGAACGUGAUGAGCUCCAGGAGGUCAAUUCUUGGCCUUGGCCUUGUCGAGGUGCGGUGUGCUGGGCAGGGUGGGUGAGGUCAGCGGCUGUCACAAGUAACCCUGCGUCUUCAGUGGCGUGAUGCAGCCGAAGCGCAUUCUCCUUCAAUCGGGUCCAACGGGGUGCUCAGUGGGUCUUCCACAAGGUGACUCGGGGUCCGGUUUCCCGGAGCCUCGGCCUCCCCACUGCUAGUGAUGAGCAGAGGAUGGCACAGAGGUGACGUCACCUCGACCUACAUUGCGCUGACUGGAGCCAGUCCUGUGGCCCCCGCCUGCAGCGAGGGGGUGAAAAUGUUGCUUAGCCAUGUGUCCAGAGCGAGGAAACGGGUUUAGUGACCAUCCCUCUGGCCGUUGUUGCCCAGCCCGGAGGCCUAGUGGGGUGCCCGGCAUUGAGGACAGGUGGCCAAGCAACGGGAAGCGGAGGCGGAGUUUUCCAUGGGACCCACUGCCCUGCUUGCCGCGGUCACUCUGGUUGGGUUCCUAUCUGGGGCUCCAGGAUAUGCCCCAGCCCCAGUCAUGCUGAGGUCAGGGCACACCCUGGAAGUGAGGGUCUAUGACCCCUCGGUGGGGAGUCCCGACCCAGAUGUUUCCAGAAAGGAGGUCUGUGGUUUCCCACCUGUCGGUCUGACGGUGCCGCGCAUCCCCUCCUCCUGCAGGAAGCCCUCCUAGCCACCAGAGGGCGCCGCACCCCCGCCGCUGUCCGCCGCUUGCUGAGCGCUUGCUGUGAGCCCGGGGCCGCUGGACUCGCUCAUUGGACCUUCCCGACAACUGAGGGUGGCAGGUUCUAUUGUGACUCCCAUUUUGUUGACAGGAAGACUGAGUCUCAGAGAGGUAAACGGGGCUGCCCGAGGCCGCACAGCUGGCCAGCUGCAGACCAGAACGCUGAGCUGCUCUUCUCUUUGAAUUCCAAAGAGACAUCUAAAGGAAGCCCUCAGCUCUGAAGACCACCUAGCUGGAAUCUCAGAGGGAGAGCUGGGGACAGGAAAGGAUGACUACUCCCACCAUUCUGUGGACACCGAGUCCAGCCUCCGGGAGGACGCUGAGGGAACCUUUUGGGACAGCCAGGGCAGAGAACGCCUUUUACUUCUUAAGGCUCUGGAUCAAAACAGAGAAGCUUCUGUUUUGGAGCCUGGCAAUCCUCGAACAUCAGUGUGCAUUUUAAGCCAUAAAGCGCAAUACUGAUUACAAACAGGAAUACGGAGGGCUUCCUUUAAACUGCUUCAGAAAACAAACUCCUCGGGGACUUCGAAAGGAGCUCUCACCAUAGCUCCUGCAAUCCACUCUGAACAGGAAACCUUCUCAUCUAUUUAUUAAAACUGACCCCAGAAAGAUUUUCAACAGGGAAGCCUGGCUUUAUGUUGUGUAUAGCCACAAAGAAGAACAUAUAUUUUUAAAACACAUUGCCUGGGGAAGGCUCUCGCUCUGUCAGUGGUUCUUGAAUUCUGCAAGACAGCUGUUUCCUUCCUUUCAGUCUGAAUCAGAGAGGUUUGCAGCAAAAGCCAUUUUGGAGAGACCAGGUCAAGUUCAGCCUUCUCAGAUCCAAUUUUGCCACUACCAUGACCCACAGGAGAAAUUCCUCCCAGCUUGGGACUGUGCUAUCUCGGAUGACGUGACAGCGACAAGCCAUUUAGAGUGUGACUUGGGGCUUUUCAGAAGCGCAGAUGCACGGGAGGUCUGCAUUCAGGUAGUGACAGGUCACAAGGACAGCCGUGGAGGCUCCAAAAUUGGCCUGGGAAUUGGGAUUCAGUUCCACAGGAUGGGGCGGGGCCUGAGUCUCUGCAUUUCUGACAGGCUCUGAGGGGCUGCUGCAGCUGCUGGUCUCAGCCGGUUUUGCACUAGCGAAGCUCUCGACCCAGGCCGCCCACAGGAAACAGAAUGCCAGCCAGAUACAGGAUUUUAAAUGGUCCAGUAGCCUCAUUUAAAAAGUAAAAAGAGGCCAGGUGCCAUGGCUCACACCUGUAAUCCAGCACUUUGGGAGGCCAACUAGAGGAUCGCUUGAAGCCAGGAGUUUGAGAACAGCCUGGACAACGUAGUGAGACCCCUAUCUCUACAAAAAAUGUAAAAGCCAGGCAUGGUGGCACCUGUCUGUGGUCCCAGCUCCUCAGGAGGCUGAGGCAGGAGGAUCGCUUGAACCCAGGAGUUUGAGGCUGCCAUGAGCCAUGAUCACACCACUGGACUCUAGCCUGGGCGACAGAGCCAGACCCUGUCUCUAAAACAAUAAUAAAUAAAUAAAUAAAUAAGAA